rnacentral:rRNA from 1 species
CACGUAGGGUGCAAGCGUUGUCCGGAAUCACUGGGCGUAAAGAGCUCGUAGGCGGCUUAGUAAGUCGGGUGUGAAAACCCCAGGCUCAACCUGGGGACGCCACCCGAUACUGCUAUAGCUAGAGUCCAGUAGGGGAGUGUGGAAUUCCCAGUGUAGCGGUGAAAUGCGCAGAUAUUGGGAGGAACACCAGCGGCGAAGGCGGCACUCUGGGCUGGUACUGACGCUGAGGAGCGAAAGCGUGGGUAGCGAACAGG